rnacentral:rRNA from 1 species
CCCGGGUCUUGUACACACCGCCCGUCACACCAUGGGAGCGGGAUGUACCAGAAGUAGGUAGGCUAACCGCAAGGGGGCCGCUUACCGCGGUGCGUUUCGUGACUGGGGUG